rnacentral:rRNA from 1 species
AUUGAACGCUGGCGGCAUGCCUUACACAUGCAAGUCGAACGGUAACGCGGGGCAACCUGGCGACGAGUGGCGAACGGGUGAGUAAUGUAUCGGAACGUGCCCAGUUGUGGGGGAUAACUGCUCGAAAGAGCAGCUAAUACCGCAUACGACCUGAGGGUGAAAGCGGGGGAUCGCAAGACCUCGCGCAAUUGGAGCGGCCGAUAUCAGAUUAGGUAGUUGGUGAGGUAAAGGCUCACCAAGCCGACGAUCUGUAGCUGGUCAGAGAGGACGACCAGCCACACUGGGACUGAGACACGGCCCAGACUCCUACGGGAGGCAGCAGUGAGGAAUUUUGGACAAUGGACGCAAGUCUGAUCCAGCCAUGCCGCGUGCGGGAAGAAGGCCUUCGGGUUGUAAACCGCUUUUGUCAGGGAAGAAACGCUCUGGGUUAAUACCUCGGGGUAAUGACGGUACCUGAAGAAUAAGCACCGGCUAACUACGUGCCAGCAGCCGCAGUAAAAC